rnacentral:rRNA from 1 species
UACGGAAGGCAGCAGGGGGAAUAUUGCACAAUGGGCGCAAGCCUGAUGCAGCCAUGCCGCGUGUAUGAAGAAGGCCUUCGGGUUGUAAAGUACUUUCAGUCGUGAGGAAGGUGUUAAGGUUAAUAACCUUAGCAAUUGACGUUAGCGACAGAAGAAGCACCGGCUAACUCCGUGCCAGCAGCCGCGGUAAUACGGAGGGUGCGAGCGUUAAUCGGAAUUACUGGGCGUAAAGGGCACGCAGGCGGUUAAUUAAGUUGGAUGUGAAAUCCCCGGGCUUAACCUGGGAAUGGCAUUCAAGACUGGUUAGCUAGAGUCUUGUAGAGGGGGUAGAAUUCCAUGUGUAGCGGUGAAAUGCGUAGAGAUGUGGAGGAAUACCGGUGGCGAAGGCGGCCCCUGGACAAAGACUGACGCUCAUGUGCGAAAGCGUGGGGAGCAAACGAGGGAUUAGAUACC